UACGUAGGGAGCAAGCGUUGUCCGGAAUCAUUGGGCGUAAAGGGCGCGUAGGCGGCUCGGCACGUCCGUUGUGAAAUCGCUCGGCUCAACUGGGCGAGGUCAGCGGAUACGGUCGAGCUUGAGCCAGCUAGGGGGCAAUGGAAUUCCCGGUGUAGUGGUGGAAUGCGUAGAGAUGUGGAGGAACACCGAUGGCGAAGGCAGCCCCCUGGGCUAACACUGACGCUCAUGCACGAAAGCGUGGGGAGCAAACAGG
rnacentral:rRNA from 1 species